GCGGGUGUGGUGAGUGGCUCACGGCCGCUUUCAAUUAGUGAUUCCGGUUGACAACAGUAAUUCGGCAAUUCUGGGUUCGAUUCCCAGCACCCGCG